GAUGGACGCUGGCGGCGUGCCUAAUACAUGCAAGUCGAGCGAACGGACGAGAAGCUUGCUUCUCUGAUGUUAGCGGCGGACGGGUGAGUAACACGUGGAUAACCUACCUAUAAGACUGGGAUAACUUCGGGAAACCGGAGCUAAUACCGGAUAAUAUUUUGAACCGCAUGGUUCAAAAGUGAAAGACGGUCUUGCUGUCACUUAUAGAUGGAUCCGCGCUGCAUUAGCUAGUUGGUAAGGUAACGGCUUACCAAGGCAACGAUGCAUAGCCGACCUGAGAGGGUGAUCGGCCACACUGGAACUGAGACACGGUCCAGGCUCCUACGGGAGGCAGCAGUAGGGAAUCUUCCGCAAUGGGCGAAAGCCUGACGGAGCAACGCCGCGUGAGUGAUGAAGGUCUUCGGAUCGUAAAACUCUGUUAUUAGGGAAGAACAUAUGUGUAAGUAACUGUGCACAUCUUGACGGUACCUAAUCAGAAAGCCACGGCUAACUACGUG
rnacentral:rRNA from 1 species